rnacentral:rRNA from 1 species
GACGAACGCUGGCGGCGUGCUUAACACAUGCAAGUCGAACGGAAAGGCCCUGCUUUUGUGGGGUUCUCGAUUGGCGAACGGGUGAGUAACACGUGAGUAACCUGCCCUUGACUUUGUGAUAACUUCAGGAAACUGGGGCUAAUACCCGAUAGGAGCUCCUGCUGCAUGGUGUGGGUUGGAAAAUUUCGGCGGUUGGGUAUGGACUCGCGGCUUAUCAGCUUGUUGGUGGGGUAGUGGCUUACCAAGGCUUUGACGGGUAGCCGGCCUGAGAGGGUGAACGGCCACAUUGGGACUGAGAUACGGCGCAGAAGCGUACGGGACGCAGCAGUGGGGAAUAUUGCAGAAUGGGGGGAAGCCUGAUGCAGAAACGCCGCGUGCGGGAUGACGGCCUUCGGGUUGUAAACCGCUUUCGCAUGUGACGAAGCGUGAGUGACGGUAAUGGGUAAAGAAGCAACGGCUAACUACGUG